rnacentral:rRNA from 1 species
AUGUUUGGUCAUAACAAGUAUAGUAAACACCUCACACAUAAUAUGAAUUGGACGCCGAUAAGUGCCACACGUGUGGGCGUUAGGGAGUCCACCCACACAUUUUGUGUGGUGUAUAAGAGGAACAGCCCACACACCUAUGUGUGGGCAAAACAACUAGCGCCCACACGCCUCUUUUUUUCCCUCCCGAUCCCUCUCACACGCGUGCGUGUGGGCGAAGUUGAUAACGCACACACGCCCGUAUGUCAGGCCUCGUACCUCCUGGUCCCGCACGCCACGCGUGACGGUCACCGCGCGCCCGCAGUUGCCAUGGUCCAGACCCUCGUCCAUGUUCGUUUAACUGCAGUUGCCAUGUCGCUGAACUACGGUUGCCAUGUCGGACAACUGCAGUUGCCAUGGUUGCUCAACUGCAGUUGCCAUGUAUGGUCUGAUCUAAUGUAG